UUAGGUGUAGCUCAGUGGUGCAGCACCUGCCUGGCCAGCACAAUGCCCUGAGUUCAAUUCCCGGUACCGAAA
rnacentral:tRNA from 1 species